rnacentral:tRNA from 1 species
GGUCCGUUGGUCAAUCGGUUAAGACACUUCCCUUUCACGGAAGAAUGAGGGGUUCGAUUCCCCUACGGACUA